AGUGUUUAUAUUUAUUCUUGAGCAUAGGUAUGCCGUACUAUUAAAAGGUGACAACACCAAACAUGCUCUUAGUUGACCUAAAUAAGAAUAGCCUUUGUGAGACUUGAGUGAUUCUUGAGAAAUCUUUGAGUUGGGUUAAGCGAGUGAUCUUGUGUGAGCAUUAGUGAGUUGAGAAGAGCAAUCCAUAGUUUGAGCACUUGUGGUUCGCGUCGAGAAAGCCUUUGAAGCAUUUGUUACUCUUG
rnacentral:lncRNA from 1 species